GACGUAGGGGGCGAGCGUUGUCCGGAUUUAUUGGGCGUAAAGAGCGCGUAGGCGGCCCGUUAAGUCGGAUGUGAAAACCCGUGGCUCAACCACGGGCCUGCAUCCGAUACUGGCGGGCUCGAGGCAGGCAGGGGAGAUCGGAAUUCCUGGUGUAGCGGUGAAAUGCGCAGAUAUCAGGAAGAACACCCGUGGCGAAGGCGGCUCUCUGGAACGCAACUGACGCUGAGACGCGAAAGCGUGGGGAGCAAACAGG
rnacentral:rRNA from 1 species